ensembl:lncRNA
GCCGUGGUCAGCCUCCCCAGACUUAGCGAUGCCUUCCUGGUAAUCUUUGGACUGAUAUAUGCACUACACCUCAGCUACCCCAAAGCACUGACCAACACUUUUGAAUUCACUGAAAAGAUUUUACUUGGUCUAGAAAGUGGUAAACUGUCACCCAGGUUGCAGACCCUCAAGAAUGACUUGUUGAUGUAAGUGACUGAUGGAGGAGGUGGAGAGGGAGGUGACUGAUGGAGGAGGAGAGGGAGGUGACUGAUGGAGGAGGUGGAGAGGGAGGAGGAGAGGGAGGUGACUGAUGGAGGAGGUGGAGAGGGAGGAUAAGAGGGAGGUGACUGAUGGAGGAGGAGAGGGAGGUGACUGAUGGAGGAGGUGGAGAGGGAGGAUAAGAGGGAGGUGACUGAUGGAGGAGGUGGAGAGGGAGGUGACUGAUGGAGGAGGUGGAGAGGGAGGAUAAGAGGGAGGUGACUGAUGGAGGAGGUGGAGAUGGAGGUGACUGAUGGAGGAGGUGGAGAAGGAGGUGACUGAUGGCGGAGGUGGAGAGGGAGGAUAAGAGGGAGGUGACUGAUGGAGGAGGUGGAGAGGGAGGAUAAGAGGGAGGUGACUGAUGGAGGAGGUGGAGAGGGAGGUGACUGAUGGAGGAGGUGGAGAUGGAGGUGACUGAUGGAGGAGGUGGAGAUGGAGGUGACUGAUGGAGGAGGUGGAGAGGGAGGAGAAGAGGGAGGUGACUGAUGGAGGAGGUGGAGAGGGAGGUGACUGAUGGAGGAGGUGAGGGAGGUGACUGAUGGCGGAGGUGGAGAGGGAGGUGACUGAUGGCGGAGGUGGAGAGGGAGGUGACUGGAGGAGGAGAGGGAGGUGACUGAUGGAGGAGGUGGAGAGGGAGGUGACUGAUGGCGGAGGUGACUGAUGGAGGAGGAGAGAGGGAGGUGACUGAUGGAGGAGGUGGAGAGGGAGGUGACUGAUGGCGGAGGUGACUGAUGGAGGAGGAGAGAGGGAGGUGACUGAUGGAGGAGGAGAGGGAGGUGACUGAUGGAGGAGGUGGAGAGGGAGGUGACUGAUGGCAUAGGAGGAGAGAGGGAGGCUUUGAUUUAUUUUGAUUUAUAGAUGUUUAUUAUUUAUUUUUCUAUUUAAUUUUAAUAUUGCAGUGUGCUAAAAGG